GAUCAACGCUGGCGGCGCACAUAAGACAUGCAAGUUGAACGGACUUAAUCGAAAUAUUUAUAUUUUGAAGCGGUUAGUGGCGGACUGGUGAGUAACGCGUAAGGAACCUGCCUAUUAGAGGGGAAUAACAGUGAGAAAUCAUUGCUAAUACCGCAUGUGCCAUAGAUAUCACAUGAUAACAGUGGGAAAGGAGCAAUCCGCUAAUAGAUGGCCUUGCGUCUGAUUAGAUAGUUGGUGGGGUAACGGCCUACCAAGUCGACGAUCAGUAGCCGGACUGAGAGGUUGAACGGCCACAUUGGGACUGAGAUACGGCCCAGACUCCUACGGGAGGCAGCAGUCGGGAAUAUUGCGCAAUGGAGGAAACUCUGACGCAGUGACGCCGCGUAUAGGAAGAAGGUUUUCGGAUUGUAAACUAUUGUCGUUAGGGAAGAGAAAGGACAGUACCUAAGGAGGAAGCUCCGGCUAACUACGUG
rnacentral:rRNA from 1 species